GUGCCAGCAGCCGCGGUAAUUCCAGCUCCAAUAGCGUAUAUUAAAGUUGUUGCAGUUAAAAAGCUCGUAGUUGAAUUUCGGAAUCUGUCCGUUGGUCGGGCUUCACUGUCCGCACUGGUGUGAUGGGUUUCUACCUUCUGAAUAACCGGCAUGUCAUUAAUUUGGUGCGCCG
rnacentral:rRNA from 1 species